GAAAUGCGAUAAGUAAUGUGAAUUGCAGAAUUCAGUGAAUCAUCGAAUCUUUGAACGCACCUUGCGCUCCUUGGUAUUCCUUGGAGCAUGCCUGUUUGAGUAUCAUGAAAUCUUCAAAGUAAAUCUUUUGUUAACUCAAUUGGUUUCUACUUUGGUAUUGGAGGUCUUUGCAGCUUCACACCUGCUCCUCUUUGUUCAUUAGCUGGAUCUCAGUGUUAUGCUUGGUUCCACUCGGCGUGAUAAGUUAUCUAUCGCUGAGGACACUGUAAAAGGUGGCCAAGGUAAAUGCAGAUGAACCGCUUCUAAUAGUCCAUUGACUUGGACAAUACUUUUAUGAUCUGAUCUCAAAUCAGGUAGGACUACCCGCUGAACUUUAGC
rnacentral:misc_RNA from 1 species